rnacentral:lncRNA from 1 species
GUACACGCACGAGAGCAUUCUUCAAAGGACUGAAACAGCAAAGGUGGACCUGAAAUACCACCUGAAGACCAGACACGAGCAAGGCUGGUCAAGAGCUGGUGACAGAGGCAGGAAAGGUAAGGGACCCGUGGGCUGCCAGCAGGGGGCUCUUUUUUUUUUCUUUCCUCCUCAUCUGGAGACGAUUAGGGCUGACAUUACCACAGAGCACCUGGAAGAGCACGAGACACUCCCGAUGUCUCUCUGUACCCAUUAUGGGAAAGCCUGAGCAAUCCAUAGCAGAGUGAGUUCUCAGGGCAGCCCUCUCUCACAAAUGGCCACUGGGAUCUCCCCAUCAGAAGACACUUGCCCAGUGGCCUCCACUCAGCAGCCUGUCCUGCCAGCCCUGGAAACCGCUACCCUUGCUUCCCUUUGUAUUCUCAGAUGUCUCAAAAGCAAUUUCCUCUAUUGUGAGCAUGCCUCAGUAGCAAAGCUGUGUUUGGGACGUGCGUCAAGCGAUGCAAGAGCCAGCUCCUCCUGUGCUAAACGAGUCCCCUCCCCAGAGCGGCUCUUUGAGACCACCGGCAUCUGCCGGGGCCUCCCCUGUUUCAGCACACAGACGAGGUGAAGGCAUCCAAAUAGCAUUCCCCGGGGAACAACGCUGCCCCGUAGCCGUGAAGAGAUGGACCAAAACCGUGCCAGAAACGCAAUUUUUCUGACAUUUUCUCCUUUCCUCUUUCUAGGGGACCUUUGCGAGACGCACCUCCUUCAUCGAGCAGCGCUUUCUCCAGAGAAACUGCCGGCAUUGACUGUAAUGCCGGGCAGAGACCGGAAAGCCAAGGAGAAAGAGCCUCGCACCGGGCAUCUACCGGCCAUCCUGACGAGAUCCUCAGAAAAAGAAGAACAAAAGAAAGUCCUUCCUCUGGUGACUCCCAGGAUGGUGGACUUUGUUGCUGUAGAGGUGAAGAAAAGAAAGGUCGCCCUCCAGAAAAAAAAAGCACAGAUGAAAAAGGCAAAGGAGGAGAAGAUGAAGAAGGAGAAGGAGAAGGAGAAGGAGAAGGAGAAGGAGAAGGAGAAGGAGAAGGAGAAGGGGAAGAAAGUGGGGAAGGAGAAGGAGGAGAAGGGGAAGAAGGUGAAGGAGGAUAAGAAGGGGAAGCAGGAGGAGAAGAAGGGGAAGCAGGAGAAGCAGGUCAAGCAGGCCAAGAAGGAGGAGCGUAAAUUACCAAAACGCGUCCAGAUGUUCUUGGCUCAGGAGGAACAAAAGAAAAAAAAGCUGCAGAGAGAGAGCAAAAAGCAAACGAAGCAGCAGGAGGUGGAAGUGAAGGAGACGGAGGCUGAGCCAGAAAAAGUGGAGAUGCCAGUGGCUCAGGAAUCCUCUUCCCCCAAGGAAGAGCAUUUCAGCUCUCCGUCUGAGAGCGAAUCAGAGCAAUCCUGCUCCAGCUCCGGCUCCGGCUCCAGUUCCAGCUCCAGCCCCAGCCUGAUGGAGAGGAUGAUGGGGGAGCAGGAAGAGGCCGAGGAACAGCCACCCAGCAUCUUCUGGGACAGCAGUGCUAUCCCUAAAGCCGAGCUUGCAGUUGUGCGGUGGAGUCGGCGACCGAUAAAAGAAUCCAGCAUCCUUCAUCUGGCUGGGACUGGAUUAAAACCUGCACCCCCUCCGGGGCCAAGGCCGGGCAAGUCAGUACGGGUAAGUGGUGUGAGCUCCCGUUAGCACCGUGUCAUAGCUAGCCGUAGCAAGCCAUGGGAAGACCCUCUUGGGCCUGUGGGAUGGAGAGCACUGGCUGUGGAGCUGGAGACCUCCGCGCAGACACCCCUUCCGGACGAUGGGCGCUGGGGAUAAAGUCUCGCAGCGCAGCUCAGGCAGCUUCAGACGGAAGGGUCGGACGUGUUGUCCAAGUGUUUGGCGGCCCUCCAUUCUCCAAGCGGAGUCCCUCCUCCUCCCAGAAUACGGACCCCCUGAGCACCUCGCCCUCACAGCCUGUAUUUGCUCAGGCCAAAGUCUCAGCCCCAGCCUGACUCAGGGCCUGGUCAAUCAGCCCCACAGCAGGCUACCCCAGACUGGGACUGGCCAAAAGAGCUGCAAUUACAUGACAGGGAUCGUGAGCUUGCUCUCUCUAGACACGCACAAGCAGAGCCACUCUUAUACUGCAGAGAGACUUGCAGCGUUGCGCUGCGUGUCUCUGCAUUCACAAAACUACAGAGCUUUAAACUGAACUCCUUAGGCCCGGAGAGUAGUGUCUGUGCACAACAACGAGGACCACGAGAGAUCUGCCAGUACUCUGAGACUCCCGAGUGAGACAUCCAGCCAGUGUCACCCAACAGCUCAACAAGGACCACCGUUCACUUUUGGCGACGUUAAUGGUGACACUGUUAAAAGCAAGUCGCCAUUUCCCAUACCACCCUUUCCCUAUACCCAAUAAUACCCAAUACCCAAUAAAUCCCUAUACCCAAUAAAACCCCA